rnacentral:rRNA from 1 species
CCUACGGGUGGCAGCAGUGGGGAAUAUUGCACAAUGGGGGAAACCCUGAUGCAGCGACGCCGCGUGAGUGAAGAAGUAAUUCGUUAUGUAAAGCUCUAUCAGCAGGGAAGAAAAUGACGGUACCUGAGUAAGAAGCCCCGGCUAACGACGUGCCAGCAACCGCGGUAAUACGUCGGGCGCAAGCGUUAAUCGGAAUUACUGGGUGUAAAGGGAGCGUAGACGGCAGUGCAAGUCGAGAGUGAACUGCGGGGGCGCAACCCCCGGACUGCUUUGGAAACUGUACGGCUGGAGUGCAGGAGAGGAUAGUGGAAUUCCUGGUGUAGCAGUGAAAGGCGUAGAUAUUUGGAGGAACACCAGGGGCGAAGGCGGCUUACUGGACUGUAACUGACGUUGAGGCUCGAAAGCGUGGGGAGCAAACAGGAUUAGAUACCCUUGUAGUC